rnacentral:rRNA from 1 species
GGAAACUGCUGCUAAUACCCAAUAUGCCCUUCGGGGUGAAAGAUUUAUCGCCAGAAAAUGAGCUCGCGGCCGAUUAGUUAGUUGGUGGAGUAAAAGCCUACCAAGACAGCGAUCGGUAGCUGGUCUGAGAGGAUGAGCAGCCACACUGGGACUGAGACACGGCCCAGACUCCUACGGGAGGCAGCAGUGGGGAAUUUUCCGCAAUGGGCGCAAGCCUGACGGAGCAAGACCGCGUGGGGGAGGAAGGCUCUUGGGUUGUAAACCCCUUUUCUCAAGGAAGAACACAAUGACGGUACUUGAGGAAUCAGCCUCGGCUAACUCCGUGCCAGCAGCCGCGGUAAUACGGAGGAGGCAAGCGUUAUCCGGAAUUAUUGGGCGUAAAGGGUCCGCAGGUGGUGGGGCAAGUCGGCGGUUAAAGACUGGAGCUUAACUCCAGAAAAGCCGUGGAAACUGCACCACUAGAGGGCAGUAGGGGUAGAGGGAAUUCCCGGUGUAGCGGUGAAAUGCGUAGAGAUCGGGAAGAACACCAGUGGCGAAAGCGCUCUACUGGACUGCCACUGACACUGAGGGACGAAAGCUAGGGGAGCGAAUGGGAUUAGAUACCC